UGGGGAAUUUUGGACAACGGGCGCAAGCCUGAUCCAGCCAUGCCGCGUGUGUGAAGAAGGCCUUCGGGUUGUAAAGCACUUUCGGACGGAACGAAAUCGCGCGGGUUAACAGCGCGCGUGGAUGACGGUACCGUAAGAAGAAGCACCGGCUAACUACGUGCCAGCAGCCGCGGUAAUACGUAGGGUGCGAGCGUUAAUCGGAAUUACUGGGCGUAAAGGGUGCGCAGGCGGCCCCGCAAGUCAGGCGUGAAAUCCCCGGGCUUAACUUGGGAAUGGCGCUUGAAACUACGGGGCUGGAGUGUGGCAGAGGGAGGUGGAAUUCCACGUGUAGCGGUGAAAUGCGUAGAGAUGUGGAGGAACACCGAUGGCGAAGGCAGCCUCCUGGGCCAACACUGACGCUCAUGCACGAAAGCGUGGGGAGCAAACAG
rnacentral:rRNA from 1 species